AGAGCGAACGCUGGCGGCAGGCUUAACACAUGCAAGUCGAGCGCUCGUAGCAAUACGGGAGCGGCAGACGGGAGAGUAACACGUGGGAACGUACCCUUCGGUUCGGAAUAACCCAGGGAAACUUGGGCUAAUACCGGAUACGUCCGUAAGGAGAAAGAUUUAUCGCCGAGGGAUCGGCCCGCGUCCGAUUAGCUAGUUGGUGGGGUAAUGGCCCACCAAGGCGACGAUCGGUAGCUGGUCUGAGAGGAUGAUCAGCCUCACUGGGACUGAGACACGGCCCAGACUCCUACGGGAGGCAGCAGUGGGGAAUAUUGGACAAUGGGCGCAAGCCUGAUCCAGCCAUGCCGCGUGGGUGAUGAAGGCCUUAGGGUUGUAAAGCCCUUUCGGCGGGAAGAUAAUGACGGUACCGCAGAAGAAGCCCGGCUAACUUCGCGCCAGCAGCCGC
rnacentral:rRNA from 1 species